UACGUAGGGUGCGAGCGUUUGUCCGGAAUUAUUGGGCGUAAAGAGCUCGUAGGCGGUUUGUCGCGUCGGCCGUGAAAACUUGGGGCUUAACCCCAAGCCUGCGGUCGAUACGGGCAGACUUGAGUUCGGCAGGGGAGACUGGAAUUCCUGGUGUAGCGGUGAAAUGCGCAGAUAUCAGGAGGAACACCGGUGGCGAAGGCGGUUCUCUGGGCCUUACCUGACGCUGAGGAGCGAAAGCGUGGGGAGCAAACAGG
rnacentral:rRNA from 1 species